rnacentral:rRNA from 1 species
GACUACUGGGGUAUCUAAUCCUGUUUGCUCCCCACGCUUUCGCGUCUCAGCGUCAAUAAUGUUCCAGUAGAUCGCCUUCGCAAUCGGUAUUCCUUCUGAUCUCUACGGAUUUUACCCCUACACCAGAAAUUCCAUCUACCUCUCCCACAUUCUAGGUAUACAGUUUCAAAAGCAGUUCAAUAGUUGAGCUAUUGGAUUUCACUUCUGACUUAUAUACCCGCCUACACGCUCUUUACGCCCAGUGAUUCCGAGUAACGCUUGCACCCUCCGUAUUACCGCGGCUGCUGGCACGGAGUUAGCCGGUGCUUAUUCAUAUAGUACCGUCAUUAUCUUCCUAUAUAAAAGGAGUUUACGCACCGAAAUGUGUCAUCCUCCACGCGGCGUUGCUGCAUCAGACUUUCGUCCAUUGUGCAAUAUUCCCCACUGCAGCCCCCCGUAGG